AGCCUGCAGGUCAUAUACUAAAACUGGAACGACACAGAGAAAAUUAGCAUGGUCCCUAUACA
rnacentral:snRNA from 1 species